GACGAACGCUGGCGGCGUGCUUAACACAUGCAAGUCGAACGAAGUGGCGAACGGGUGAGUAACGCGUAAUCCACCUGCCCUUCAGAGGGGGCCAACAGUUGGAAACGACUGCUAAUACCGCAUACUGAAGGAGGGGAUUGCGUCUGAUUAGCUAGUUGGAGGGUUAACGGCCCAACAAGGCGAUGAUCAGUCGCCGGUCUGAGAGGAGGAACGGCCACAGUGGGAAUGAGACACGGCCCAGACUCCUACGGGAGGCAGCAGGGGGGAAUCUUCCGCAAUGGACGAAAGGCUGACGGAGCAAAGCCGCGUGAGGGAUGACGGCCUUCGGGUUGGAAAGCUCUGUUAAUCGGGACGCGGUACCGGAAUAGAAAGCCACGGCUAACUACGUGCCAGCAGCCGCGGUAAUAC
rnacentral:rRNA from 1 species